GGGUCCAUAGCUCAAUGGUUAGAGCAGUCGGCUCAUAACCGAUCGGUUGUAGGUUCGAGUCCUACUGGACCCA
rnacentral:tRNA from 1 species